AGAGUUUGAUCCUGGCUCAGGACGAACGCUGGCGGCGUGCUUAACACAUGCAAGUCGAACGAUUCCUGGUCUUCGGGCCGGGUUUAGUGGCGAACGGGUGAGUAACACGUGGGCAACCUGCCCCCUACUCUGGGAUAACUCCGGGAAACCGGGGCUAAUACUGGAUAUUACUCUGGUCUGCAUGGGCUGGGGUGGAAAGU
rnacentral:rRNA from 1 species